AGUAUAUGAGCUGGAUGGUCAGAUGUCCUACAGUGACUGAAUCGGAGAUACUGACUAUUCUCAUCUCCUUUCUGCUCUACUUAGAGGAGAAAGUCAGCCUUAUGAGCUAUGGGAGGAAAACUAGCUACUGUAUAGCUCCAGUACCAUCCUGGCUUUCAUACAGAAAACCAGAAAACUUAAAUUUUGCACCAGGCCACCAUGCUAGAUAAAACUUCUUUAAAGCACCUGAGAGAGAGAGAGAGAGAGAAAGAAUACCUCCAGAGAGCAGCCUGCUGAUAGAGCCUACUUCUAACAAUAUGGAGGAAAUGAAUAAAUUAUGUCUGCCUAGCUAAUCUUAGAUCUGCUCUCUUCAAAUCAGCGAGGUUCUAUUUUUCAUGGAGUGAAGAUUAUAUGUGCAAUCUUCUUGCUGGUAUAAAGAAAAAUGUAUGAAGUAGAAGUUAGUGCAUUUGCGUGAACCACACAAAGAUCUUUCCUUCUGUAAACAUUCUGCAAGAGAUGCCACUGCUGAACCUGAAUGUGAUGGAGGUCAUUAGUUACUCACAAUGGGCAAUCUGUGAGCAAUAUACCUGUGCAGAUAGAUAGAAAGGAUGGAGAGGAUGGGAUCAUGCUGCACCACGGGCUGUGUACUGGGUGGGUAUUUCAAACCAAGUACUGUGAUGUAUGAUGAUGAACAGCAGAAGUACCUUCUGCUGGCACUGCAAAGUGGUGUGGCUGCACUUCAGUUUGAUAUAUAGGAUGCUAAAUCAGUAUGAUUAGGCUGUGCAAAUUAAAUUGAUGUAACAUCAUAUAAGCAUUGCCUGGAGAAGAAAGAAUUUGAUUUUCAGAAAUGCUGGAUUCUUGUAAAGUUCAGCUGCCCAAGGAUUGCUUAAAAAACCUGAGUCUUCUCUGUGGAGCCUUUGUUUAGCCAAUGACAAAAAUAUAAUUUCUAAGGUAAAGAACAAGGAACAAAAAAAGAAUUUAUAAGAAACUAUGAAAAAUAAAGACAAAAAACCCCACAAUAAUAUUCUAUGAAAUGGAAUCAAAACACUACAUGGAAGCCCAUAUCCAGUGUAAAAUUCACUUCAGAGUUGUUGUUACUACUAUUAUGAAAGUGGUAAAUUAAUAUUUAAGAAAUUGGUAUUAUCAAAGGAAAUUUUUCACUUUGCAGUCACCAGUUGACAUUCAGCUUACUCUGAUACAUAUUAUCAUGGUACCCACAAUUGUCUAGUGUUACAAAAAACACUGUUUGUGCUCCUUACUGAAAACCUUAAAGGAAAUUGUAAACACUUUCCACCAAAAGUUGACUCUCAAGAUGUGGAACUAUCAAGUUUAUACCACAUCAACCUCUGUAAAAUCUUAGAUUCCAUUAACAAGUGUAGUAUUUUUGCCUGUAGGUGUUGGUAUGGAAAUGUUUCAAAUUCAGAUUACUCCUAGAUCAUUAAGGUAAAAGGUAAAGAGACUUACCUCAUUUAAAUGUAAUUAACAAAUUGUUAACUCUGAAACCUAAUGAUGAUAUUAAUCUGACACUGUCCUUUUAAUGUCAUAUCAUGUCCUUCUUGCAGAAUCAUCCAUGUACUCUAGUAUCUGUUCUUUAAUAAUGCAUUUCAGCCUUCCAGGAGCUGUGGGAAGACAAUGUCUUCUUUGCCUUCAGGAAAAGGGGUAUAGGAAGUGUCUUGUCACUGAGCUUUUCCUAGAUGAGCUCAGCUGUGAGGCCCCCACAAGUGUUCUGUGUUCAAACUUGCUGGAUUGUAGAAAGCAAGUACAGAGUGGAGCUUUGGAAGGUAUCUUACAGUGAAACACGGAGAAAGAAAGAGCAAGGCUCUGCUCUGGUGAAAGAGGGGAGGCAGCAAUAGAGAACUGAAAUCAGUUUCUGACAAAGAACAUGAUACAACUGGACUAAUUGUAAGAGUACAUCACAGGAUGAUGGCAUGUGUAUUAACACUUGCAUGUAUUGCCCAAUAACUUCUUACUUAAUUCCAAAGAAACAACUCAUCUGUACCGCUCAAGAAGCCCCCAGACAUAUAAUGUUUAAGGAAUCUGCUUCAGAGAAAAAAAAAUUAGAAGAAAAAGGGUGAAUGUGAAAAAGACUUGAACCAAGCUGCAGCAGCAUGGAAAGAAAAGCUAAAGACAGAAAUGCAUAAACAGAAUGUGUCAGAUCAUUUGUGAUUUGGUACUUCAUCAGUACCAUUUGGUAAACUAUGAGUAAUAUAUUUUUUUUUCUACAUAAUUUUUUAUUACAUUUUGCACAAACUAUUCUCUUGCACUAAUGAGGACAGUUGGAAUCAGAGGCUGAUGCUCAGCCUGGGGGGAAGAGAGAGCAUCAUACCCUUACAGUCCUCAUCCCUGACCUUGUAGUCUCUACGCAGCUGAUAGGCAAUUGUAAUUACUGACAGUUUUGUUGGUAACUUAACUGAGCUGUAUGGGGGAGAAGAUGUACAGUCAUGUGCUGUUCUGCUGCCUUUUCACUCCUGACACACCCCAUAUGUUGAGAUGGUGGGUGGCAGUAGGAGAUCUGGCACAUUAGCAGCAGUGUGUUCCCUGUGCCAGGGGAAUAAGCUGUUGGUUAGUAAAAUCUAAUUUCUAAGUCAUUUCUACUUCCUGAGUAGCAUUAAGAGGUGAGGAUUUUCCCAGAAAUCCAUCUCUUGGAUUGUGUGAUAGUGCAGUCUAGAGGAUGGGAUGAUGCUUGUGCCUUCAAGCUCUGUGUUGAAUAUAGAUUUCAGUAUAGCAAAAAAACCCCAAUCCCUCAAUAUAAAACCCCCAAGCCCUAAACCAUGUAAAACUGGAGUGCAUUAACAAUUCUUGUAAAAACAAUAAAGCUGUUGUGCCUUUGUUAGGGUUUUAAGUAUGUGUAUACAUGGAAAAAUUCACUAGAUGGGAAAAUUCAAGUAGGCAAAUCAAAGCAGAAAUAAAAAAAACCUUCUUAUUUUCUCUGUUAAUAACAUUGCUCAUUAAGAAGAAGUUGGCAUAGAUUCCUGGUGUGAAACUGCAAAGAAAAGGUUGUUAAUUUGGCAUCAGCCUCAAGUUGCUUCGUUCAGUAUCAUAUGAAAAUAACUAGAAUGAAGUUUUUGUGAUUUGUAUUGCUAACGAAAAGGGGGAUUUACAUUACAAGGAAAAUAGGUGUGCACCAUCAGGGGGAGUUCAUGUUCAUCUGAAAAUUGCAGGACUUGGCAAACAAAUACAGUAAACUUGGAGGCAAGCAGCAGAGAGAAUAUCUUGCAAUAUUUUGCUGGAAGAAGCAAAACAGAGCAGAAUCAAUCACCUCUUCAGUGAGAGCUUAAGGUGACUUGGGCCUUGCUCUUAGCUCUGCAGAGGACUCAUAUACUCUUUGCUAUUUAUAAAAGCAUUUUCUUCCUGCAAGGGUGGUAGAGGGCUCCUCUUUUAUAACUAAUACCUUCAUCUCCUGGGCCAUAUUAUCCUUAUUAUCCUGAAGUCUUACUGAGUUUAUUUUUAGUUCACAAUCAAGUGCAUUAAUUCAAAAAUAAAAAUUCUCCCCUGGUAACAAAAAGGGGCAGCUACAGAACAAACUGUGUGCCGCAAAUCUGAGAAUCGGAAAGGACAGCUUAAAAUUAUAGUCUCCUAAAAGGAUUUAUUGAAGGAUGUCAGUCAUAACUAGAAAUUAUAGUAGUUAUAACUGUUAUUUUGUACAAAAGGAAAAAGUGAGGAUAGUGAAGUCUUGUUUGGUUAAACAGAACUACAAUGAUUCUACAGAUAGAAGGACAUACUAAGUAGCUUUGAUUAAUAAUGGAAUUAUUUUUGGACUAGAACUGAAAAAGAAAACAAAGUACAGAAAAGGAAUAAGGAAAGGACAAUUCAGUUCUGUGUGUUGAUGAUUAGGAUGCUUUUGUUACCUCCCUGCUGACUGACAUAUAUAAUGUGUUGUGUGGAUUUUGCUGAAAUUCACUAUCUGCUUUAUUUUGCUCAUUACCUUGUUCUGUGCUAUGUGGUGAGAGAACAGUAAGUUAUCAGAUGUAGGGACUGAAAGGGAAGAUGAAGAUAGCCUUUGUGUUCCAUAAGAAGUGGGAGGUGAACCAGCAAAGGCAGGAAGACUGAUUCAGGAGGAUAACACAGCAGUUUACAACACGGAGGAAAAGAGAGAGAUCCUUGAAGGUGAGAAGCAGUUCUUGCAUGACCAGUGGCUGUCACCGUACAUCUGCUACCACACAGAUUAAAAGCAUGAAACUGCAUGGAGAAACACAAGAAAGCUUGUCUCUGCAGUCAGGUAAAGAUGAGGGCAUGAAGAUGUAUAAGUGUCCCAGGUGGGAGAAGAGUACAGUUUACUCCCUGAGGAUUUGUAACAGGUUUGUCUGAAGGAGAAAGAAAUAGGAGGCAUUGGAUUUAUCAGUCACACUUUAUAAAUGGCAUGUCCUCAGGAUCAAACCAAAGCAAUACCUUACUCAAGCGCUGCCGUAAAGCAAGUGUAAACAUCUUCUGCAGGUGUA